rnacentral:rRNA from 2 species
AGCAUAGCGAUUUGGGAUAAGUCCCUUGGAAAAGGGCAGCAUGGAGGGUGAUACUCCCGUCUCUGCUCGGAUUGUCUGUGUGUACGAUACGCUUUCUUUGAGUCGAGUUGUUUGGGAAUACAGCUCAAAGUAGGUGGUAAAUUCCAUCUAAAGCCAAAUAUUGGUGCGAGACCGAUAGCGAACAAGUACCGUGAGGGAAAGAUGAAAAGAACUUUGAAAAGAGAGUUAAAGAGUACCUGAAACUGUUGAAAGGGAACCGUAUCGUUUCCAGUGUUUUAUCCUGUGCAUAUUUCAUUAGCGGAGCAAUUUGCUGGUGCCCUGUGCAUGGGUGUGACGUCGGAGUCAGUUUGUAUGCUGCGGGAGAUGGUCAGUGAGGAGGUGCGUCACUUCGGUGAAAGUUAUAUCUCGCUGUCUAGUAGCCGUGGUUGAGACUGAGGUGCC